rnacentral:rRNA from 1 species
GGCGCACGGGUGAGUAACGCAUAGGUAAUGUGCCCCUUAGUCUGGGAUAGCCACUGGAAACGGUGAUUAAUACUAGAUACUCCUUCUCAUUAUAAGAUGAGUCGGGAAAGUUUUUCGCUAAGGGAUCAGCCUAUGUCCUAUCAGCUAGUUGGUGAGGUAACGGCUCACCAAGGCUAUGACGGGUAUCUGGUUUGAGAGGAUGAUCAGACACACUGGAACUGAGACACGGUCCAGACUCCUACGGGAGGCAGCAGUGAGGAAUAUUGCACAAUGGAGGAAACUCUGAUGCAGCAACGCCGCGUGGAGGAUGACGCAUUUCGGUGUGUAAACUCCUUUUAAGAGGGAAGAUUAUGACGGUACCUCUUGAAUAAGCACCGGCUAACUCCGUGCCAGCAGCCGCGGUAAUACGGAGGGUGCAAGCGUUACUCGGAAUCACUGGGCGUAAAGGGUGCGUAGGCUGACUUUUAAGUCAGGCGUGAAAUCCAAUGGCUUAACCAUUGAACUGCGCUUGAAACUGGGAGUCUAGAGUUCAGAAGGGGCAGAUGGAAUUAGUGGUGUAGGGGUAAAAUCCGUAGAUAUCACUAGGAAUAUCAAAAGCGAAGGCGAUCUGCUGGGAUGAUACUGACGCUGAGGCACGAAAGCGUGGGGAGCAAACAGGAUUAGAUACCCUGGUAGUCCACGCCCUAAACGAUGAAUGCUAGUCGUCGGGGUACUCGUUACUUCGGUGAUGCACUUAACAGAUUAAGCAUUCCGCCUGGGGAGUACGGUCGCAAGAUUAAAACUCAAAGGAAUAGACGGGGACCCGCACAAGUGGUGGAGCAUGUGGUUUAAUUCGAAGAUACACGAAGAACCUUACCUGGGCCUUGACAUGGUAGGAACCCUUAAGAGAUUAGGGGGUGCUAGCUUGCUAGAACCUACACACAGGUGCUGCACGGCUGUCGUCAGCUCGUUGUCGUGAGAUGUUGGGUUUAAGUCCCCGCAACGAGCGCACCCUCCGUCGUUAAGUUUGCUAAACAAGUUUCGGCUGGAAGC